GAUGAAGAACGUAGCGAAAUGCGAUAAGUAAUGUGAAUUGCAGAAUUCAGUGAAUCAUCGAAUCUUUGAACGCACAUUGCGCCCGCCAGCACUCUGGCGGGCAUGCCUGUCCGAGCGUCAUUUCAACCCUCGCGCCGUCCCUCCAGGGGGCUCGGCGCGGUGUUGGGACACGGCCCCGGCCGCCCCCGAAAUGCAGUGGCGACCCCGCCGCGGCCCCUCCAGCGCAGUAAGCACGCUCGCUACGGGAGGCCCGGUGGACGCGUCCGCCGUAAAACGCCCAACUCUUCAGAAGUUGACCUCGGAUCAGGUAGGGAUACCCGCUGAACUUAAGCAUAUCAAUAAGCGGAGGA
rnacentral:misc_RNA from 1 species